AGUGAACGCUGGCGGUAGGCCUAACACAUGCAAGUCGAACGGCAGCACAGUAAGAGCUUGCUCUUACGGGUGGCGAGUGGCGGACGGGUGAGGAAUACAUCGGAAUCUACUUUUUCGUGGGGGAUAACGUAGGGACACUUACGCUAAUACCGCAUACGACCUACGGGUGAAAGCAGGGGAUCUUCGGACCUUGCGCGAUUGAAUGAGCCGAUGUCGGAUUAGCUAGUUGGCGGGGUAAAGGCCCACCAAGGCGACGAUCCGUAGCUGGUCUGAGAGGAUGAUCAGCCACACUGGAACUGAGACACGGUCCAGACUCCUACGGGAGGCAGCAGUGGGGAAUAUUGGACAAUGGGCGCAAGCCUGAUCCAGCCAUACCGCGUGGGUGAAGAAGGUCUUCGGGUUGUAAAGCCCUUUUGUUGGGAAAGAAAAGCAGCAGGUUAAUACCCCGCUGUUCUGACGGUACCCAAAGAAUAAGCACCGGCUAACUUCGUG
rnacentral:rRNA from 1 species